rnacentral:rRNA from 1 species
UACGUAGGGUGCAAGCGUUGUCCGGAAUUAUUGGGCGUAAAGAGCUCGUAGGCGGUUUGUCGCGUCUGCUGUGAAAACUGGAGGCUCAACCUCCAGCCUGCAGUGGGUACGGGCAGACUAGAGUGCGGUAGGGGAGAUUGGAAUUCCUGGUGUAGCGGUGGAAUGCGCAGAUAUCAGGAGGAACACCGGUGGCGAAGGCGGGUCUCGUGGGCAGUAACUGACGCUGAGGAGCGAAAGCGUGGGGAGCGAACAGG